AUGAAGAGAAAAAAUUUCAAGAUGUUGGGUGUCCAUAAAAAAUAUGGAGGUACAUCGGUGAAGAUACCUGACCGAUCUAUUCUAGGAUUCCAAGACUCUGCAAAGGUGGGAGGAAUUCCUAACAAAAUCUUCCCCUUGAUUCAUUUGAAAAGAUGGGGCCUCGAAAGAGGAAGCUUAUGGUUGUAUAAUGUCUCGAACUUGCAGAGAUUCAACGGGACAACCAAUCAUCCAUGGGGAUAUGUCAAGAUGAUGAUAUCAGUAGGUGAAGGAAAUGACAUCUGA